rnacentral:rRNA from 1 species
UACGUAGGGGGCGAGCGUUAUCCGGAUUUAUUGGGUGUAAAGCGUGUGUAGGCGGUUUAUUAAGUCUAAGAUUAAAGCCCGAGGCUCAACCUCGGUUCGUCUUAGAAACUGGUAGACUUGAGUGUAGUAGAGGUAAGUGGAAUUUCUAGUGUAGCGGUUAAAUGCGUAGAUAUUAGAAGGAACAUCAGUGGCGAAGGCGACUUACUGGGCUAUUACUGACGCUGUGACACGAAAGCGUGGGGAGCAAAUAGG